rnacentral:lncRNA from 1 species
AUGCCUGGGUUAUGGCUUGACCCCAGAUCCUACAGCUUAGGGAGACCAUGGGGAUGUGCGGGGGGCAGAGCCACGACCGUGCUGGCUAGCACCAUGCCCAAGGUGGCUGAGCCGGGGUCCCACCGCCCUGUGUUCGGGGGGUCCUCGGGUUGCAUCCCAGUCUGCAGGGAGCUGCCACCCUUGGGCCACUUGCUGGUGCCUCCAGGUGCCUUUGGAUACCCAAUGGCUGCCCCACGCAGGACCAGCCACUCGCACAGCAAGCCCAGAGUCACCUGCUUCCCCAUGCGCAGGCACGUCCCCUCCAGGCUCUGCGCCCACCAGCAUCCCCGGGCCAGAACAGGCCUGAGCUUGCUACGGCCACAUGCACAGAACGGAGCUGCCAAGCAGCAGUUGCUGGAACAAGGCAGCUCCCAAUGCAACCGGGAGCAGGGCAGACCACAGGCACCCACGCACAGCACGAGGGGGCUGGAAGUGGGGUGGGGGGGGAGGCAGCAGCAAAGGUUCAGACAGGCCCCUUCCAAGCCGUCCGUGCUGCAGGGCUGGGCAGCAAGGCAGGGGGCCGUCUGGGGGAGCUGCAGGGGACACGGAGCUGCCCAACAGGACCCCCUGGCUGGGGAAAGCGGCGCCGUCAGGGCCAGCUCAUGGCAUGGCACGGAGCUGGCGCUGCGCAGGGUGUCUCCUCGGGAGCGGGGAGGGCCCUGGCUCCGGCCCGCCCGAGCAGGAGGGGAGCCGUCAGGAAGUGAUGUUGCUCCAUCUCAUGCAGCUGCGACACAGCCACUGGUUUCCUGCCAGGCCCCAGCGCCAGAGGAGAGGCGGCCGUACAAGGCCCCGGGCACCCCAGCAUCUGCCCAGGCAGCCGAGGGCAGGGCAAAGGCUCUGGGCUGCCUGAUGCCCCCCACACCACAGCCACGCUGCCCUCCACGCCCUGAGGUUGCAGCCUGCUCUGCUAGGAGCCCCGCUCUGGAGUCAGGCCCCUUUGCUCAUGCCCUGCCUGGCCCACUUGCCCGGGGCAGGGGUGGCUUCCUGGAUGAAAGCAGAGCCUCCCCUGCCCAGCCCUGGGCCCCCGGGGCAGGGCAGACCAGACCGGGCAGUCAGGUGCUGGGAGCAGGUUGCGCUCACACAGGUGCCACAGGGCCCACGGGAGGCAUUGCCAGCGCGAUGCCCGUGUCAGCUGGCGACACCGCUUCCAGGAACUGGCAGCCCGCGCCUGCCCCGCUACAAGCGCGACACCCAGAGCUCCCGGGGCGGCCCCCCGGCGCCAGGCUGCGACGGAGCCGUGCAGGCCCGGGCUGGGCGCUCGAUCCCCAACGCUCUUGGCGCAGAACCGGCAGCCCGCCUCUGGCCCCCGCACAGCUACCCGCAGACCCCGGGAGCCGGCCGUUCCCCUGCCCCUCCACCAGCUCUGGCUCAGACUGGCCCUCCCACUGA